GAUCAUGGCUCAGGAUGAACGCUGGCGGCGUGCUUAACACAUGCAAGUCGAGCGAUGAAGUUUCCUUCGGGAAACGGAUUAGCGGCGGACGGGUGAGUAACACGUGGGUAACCUGCCUCAUAGAGUUGAAUAGCCUUCCGAAAGGAAGAUUAAUACCGCAUAAUGUUGAAAGAUGGCAUCAUCAUUUAACCAAAGGAGCAAUCCGCUUUGAGAUGGCCUCGCGUCCGAUUAG
rnacentral:rRNA from 1 species